rnacentral:rRNA from 1 species
UACGUAGGGGGCAAGCGUUGUCCGGAUUUAUUGGGCGUAAAGGGUGCGUAGGCGGCCUUUUAAGUCAGAUGUGAAAGGUCACGGCUCAACCGUGGUAAGCAUUUGAAACUGGAAGGCUUGAGUUAAGGAGAGGAAAGUGGAAUUCCUAGUGUAGCGGUGAAAUACGUAGAUAUCGGGAGGAACACCAGUGGCGAAGGCGACUGCCUGGACGAAAACUGACGCUGAGGCACGAAAGCUAGGGGAGCAAACAGG